CUAAUUAGACGUACAACAACAUCUUCUGGGCAAACCACAAAUGCUGCAGUACCAAGAACUACAUUACGACCGACAACCACGUAUCCAACGACAACUAGUUCGAGGACUACUCAUCCUCCCGCAAUUACCACUUUCUUUAGACGUACGACGUCUUCUGCAAGGCAAACAACAACUGUCGCUGUACCAAGAACCACUUUACGACCAACUACCACGUAUCCAACGACAACUCGUUUGGGAACGAAUACUCAUCCACCAACUACCCCUCUAAUUAGACGUACAACAUCUUCUUCUGGGCAAACUACAAGUGCUGCAGUACCAAGAACUACAUUACGACCACCGACAACCACUUAUCCAACGACAAAUCGUUCGACUCCUCAUGUGACUACCCCUAUAAUUAGACGUACAACAUAUUCUGCAGGU